rnacentral:misc_RNA from 1 species
AGUCCAAACAGAAAGAAACUCCGAUUGGGCACAAUUGAAAACUGAAAGAAUUACUCCAGACUGGAAAUGCCUUUCAGAAAGUCUAUCAAGCACAUUUCUUUGGAAUAAAGGUUAUCACGCAGCUGAACUUGGCGCGAGUACUGAUCACUGCAAAGUAUUCCUAGAUUCAGAGGACGUAGGACGUACUCUUGAUCUCUCAGUUCUAGGAUCA